rnacentral:rRNA from 1 species
UAGGGAAUCUUCCGCAAUGGGCGAAAGCUUGACGGAGCAACGCCGCGUGAGUGAUGAAGGUCUUCGGAUCGUAAAACUCUGUUAUUAGGGAAGAACAAAUGUGUAAGUAACUAUGCACGUCUUGACGGUACCUAAUCAGAAAGCCACGGCUAACUACGUGCCAGCAGCCGCGGUAAUACGUAGGUGGCAAGCGUUAUCCGGAAUUAUUGGGCGUAAAGCGCGCGUAGGCGGUUUUUUAAGUCUGAUGUGAAAGCCCACGGCUCAACCGUGGAGGGUUAUUGGAAACUGGAAAACUUGAGUGCAGAAGAGGAAAGUGGAAUUCCAUGUGUAGCGGUGAAAUGCGCAGAGAUAUGGAGGAACACCAGUGGCGAAGGCGACUUUCUGGUCUGUAACUGACGCUGAUGUGCGAAAGCGUGGGGAUCAAACAGG